AGAAUGCAGGGGGUCACGUCCGCCACCCCAAUGGCAUCCUCGACCUUCUAUGCAGGGAACACAUUCCUGGACUUGUUGAGUACGCCGGAGUGACGGGCCGGCCCUAUUCCUUCGACCACUACGCCACCGCCCCAAUGUAGUGGAUCGGGAUGACAGUCAAUUCAACAAGGCAGAGCGAGUGAAGCAAGUGUCGUGGGAUUUCUUAAGAUGCGAGGCUAGAUACUAGCCCAGGGCGGAUGUGGUGGCUACCACGAGCUGUAAGAAGCUCGUCGUGGACAUGCACUAUGAGACGCGCAUCUAGACCAUAAUCACUUGCCACGACUCUGUCCUUGGGGAGAAGGUGGGCAAGAAGGACGCCAGGACCAUAUCAUUGAUUCCGGAUCAGUACUUGCAGAUGAUUCCUUAUUGGUGCGUCGCACAUCCUUAGUGCUAGGAGCAAAUGGUGCAAAGGUGGUGCUCGACCGAGUGGGACAAAGCUCACAACGGUAGCUAGGAACGUCAUUUGAUGAUGCAAGGUUUCUCCCACGACCAAGGCUGUCGCAGCCUCGGCAAAUACGCAGAAGUAUGGUCACUGUCACAUGGUGGUCAGCCUUGCUCCAUCUUCUUGGCGUAUGCUAUGACCCACAAGGGCAAGACGACGUUCGAUGUCACCUACAGCCUGGAGGAUGGGCCCGAGGCAUAUAGCAACCCCGUCAUCCACAACCGCCUUAGUGAGUACACUGUCAUGGCAAAGGAGGUCCAUGAGCCAGAUUACGAUCCGAGGAUCGAGGACAUCGACAGAGAUGUCCUCAUGAGGGUCGGAGGAGGCAAGAUGCA